rnacentral:rRNA from 1 species
GGGAGCUGUACGUAAGCGUUGAUCCAGAGAUUUCCGAAUGGGGGAACCCACUAUCUUUAGUCGGAUAGUAUCCUUACGUGAAUACAUAGCGUGAGGAAGGCAGACCCAGGGAACUGAAACAUCUAAGUACCUGGAGGAAGAGAAAGAAAAAUCGAUUUCCUGAGUAGCGGCGAGCGAAACGGAAAGAGCCCAAACCAAGAAGCUUGCUUCUUGGGGUUGUAGGACACUCUAUACGGAGUUACAAAAGAAAGUUAUAAAUGAAGCGGUCUGGAAAGGCCCGCCAAAGACGGUAACAGCCCGGUAGUUGAAAUGGCUUUCCCUCCAGAGUGGAUCCUGAGUACGGCGGAACACGUGAAAUUCCGUCGGAAUCCGGGAGGACCAUCUCCCAAGGCUAAAUACUCCCUAGUGACCGAUAGUGAACCAGUACCGUGAGGGAAAGGUGAAAAGCACCCCGGAAGGGGAGUGAAACAGUUCCUGAAACCGUGUGCCUACAAGUAGUUAGAGCCCGUUAAUGGGUGAUAGCGUGCCUUUUGUAGAAUGAACCGGCGAGUUACGAUUUGUUGCAAGGUUAAGCGGAAAAAGCGGAGCCGUAGCGAAAGCGAGUCUGAAUAGGGCGCAUAAGUAACAGGUCGUAGACCCGAAACCAGGUGAUCUACCCAUGUCCAGGAUGAAGGUAAGGUAAUACUUACUGGAGGUCCGAACCCACGCACGUUGAAAAGUGCGGGGAUGAGGUGUGGGUAGCGGAGAAAUUCCAAUCGAACUUGGAGAUAGCUGGUUCUCUCCGAAAUAGCUUUAGGGCUAGCCUCGAGGUAAAGAGUCAUGGAGGUAGAGCACUGUUUGGACUAGGGGCCCUUCUCGGGUUACCGAAUUCAGAUAAACUCCGAAUGCCAUGUACUUAUACUCGGGAGUCAGACUGCGAGUGAUAAGAUCCGUAGUCGAAAGGGAAACAGCCCAGACCACCAGUUAAGGUCCCCAAAUAUAUGUUAAGUGGAAAAGGAUGUGGGGUUGCUUAGACAACCAGGAUGUUGGCUUAGAAGCAGCCACCAUUGAAAGAGUGCGUAAUAGCUCACUGGUCGAGUGACCCCGCGCCGAAAAUGUACCGGGGCUAAACAUAUUACC